rnacentral:lncRNA from 10 species
GAAUAAGGUGGGCCCUCAAUCCCAUCUGACCGGUGUCCUUUUAAGAAAAGGAAAAGAGAGACAGGGACACAGACACCCAGGAAGAAUGCCAAGUGAUGAUGGAGGCGGGCAUUGGAGAGAAGCAGCCACAAGCCAGAGAAGACCGGGAUCUCUGACUGCAUCCAGAAGCUAGAAAAAAGGAGGAUUCUGCCCAGCUCACUCAGAGGGACUGAGAGGGAGCGUGGUUCUACUGACACCUUGAUUUCAGACUUACGGCCUCCAGAAGGACAAGGACUCGCUCUUUUACCCAGGCUGGAAGGCAGUGCUGCAAUCACAGCUCACUACAGCCUCAAACUCCUGGAAUCAAGUAAUCCUCUCACCUCAGCCUGUUGAGUAGCUGGGACUUCAGGUGCAUGCUAACCAUGCCCAGCUAGUUUAAAAUUUUUUCUGUAGAGACGGGGUCUUGUUAUGUUGCCCAAGCUGGUCUCGAACUCCUGGCUUCAAGCCAUCCUCCCACCUUGGCCUCCCAAAGUGUUGGGAUUACAGGCGUGAGCCACUGUGCCCCGCUGACCAUAUUUAAUUUCUAUUCCAAGCCCUCCAUUUUGCUGGGAAAGGAGCAAACUUAAUUUGUCUAUUCAGAGUUUUCUCUACUACCUGCCCCGCUUCCUUUCCCAGGGGUGAGACUACAUUCCCAGGGAUGAAAUAAGAGCAUGAAGGUGUCACAUGUGAACACUCAACACAUAUUUCCUGAACUCUUACUAUGUUCUGGGCACACUUCUUAGCACUGGGGAUAAAGCAGUAAACAAAUCCUCUCGGGCUGGGCUCGGUGGCUCAUGCCUGUAAUCCCAGCACUUUUGGGAGGCUGAGGCGGGCGGAUCACCUGAGGUCAGGAGUUCAAGACCAGCCUGGCCAACGUGGUGAAACCCCGUCUCUACUAAAUAGCUGGGUGUGGUGGCGGGCAUCUGUAAUCCCAGCUACUCAG